rnacentral:lncRNA from 1 species
UGGACUUGAUGCACGCUCCUACUACCAGGAUCAUGUUGAGUUAAAGCCUGUUAACCUGUAAGUAAAGGUGUGAUGAGAUGGAAAAUAUUAAUCGUUCUAACUUGGUCAAAACUAACCAAAUCUGAAAUAAUUUGGACCUGCUACUACUAAUCAUUGGUUUAAUUUUCCACUCAUAUUUAAAACACACCUUUUACAUGUAACCCAACAUCAUCAUUGUUGUUAUUCAUCCCAAAAAGAAUUUGAAAUAGGUAACGUGGUUUAUGUUUCCAAAAUGGGAUUUUUAUUCAGCUUUUCUUACCAGGGGGUUGAUAGCUAAAUUGGAAAUAAAAAGGAUAAUGUAGUCUACAGAAGAGAAACUAGAUACGUAUUUGGGGGCCACAUAACAGAGAAAAGGGGAGAAAGAUUGGGUUAGGAUCCAGGCUCUGUGUGUGUGCUCUCAGGGGCCUUCCUUGACACCUCUGAGACUUGGUUCUCCCACCUGUGAUAUGGUUUCAGAGGCAGAGGAGGGAAGAUGGAUUCAAUGGGAUAAGGUAGGUAUAGUGUAUGUAUAGCUUGUACCUAGUACUUAAGUGUGCCUAGUACUCAAAUGUGCCUAGUACUCAAAAUGGGGUAAGGUAUGUAUAGUAUAUGUAAAGUUACCUAUGAUUGUGCCUAGUACUCAAAUAUUUGACUAACUCUCCCUAAAGGACAUGGAAGGAAGUCAACAAGUACAACAAAAAGCACCUUAAACGGGACAGGUUUCAGUUGAGUAUAAGGAAGGUAUCAUGGUCACCUGACUGAUAAAAUACUAGAAAGCAAGAAAAUAGAUACAGUGACUCCAUUCCUAGAAAACUCUAAGUAGCAAGUAGACAGCUGUAUAAAAUGAUAGCUAUCAUGUACCAAGCACUUGGCAUUGUCUCACUUUAUCCUCAUGGAAAUACUGUAAGGUACUCAUGAAUAGUCCCAUUUCAUAAAAAGGGAAACUGAGGUACACAGAGGUUAGACAAAUUCCCCCAAAUCCCACUAGUAGUAAGGGGUGGAGCUGGGAUCAUUUCUGAAUGAUAAGCAAUCACCAUGCCUGAUAUUGUGGACUUGGUCAGACGACCUUCUAUUCUUUCAGCCCAAUGUUCUUCAGUUCCAUGGUGAUAAAGGAAAUUAUGUACAACAGCCACUGGAGACCAAAGCCGAAGACAUGAUAAGAAACACACAUGAACGCCUUCCUCUGCUUUGCCACAGUGGUUUCAUAUCUGCAAUCCCCCACCCCCAGCCCUGCGAAGCCUGCACCGGCCCCUCCACCUCUCCAGGUUGAAUUAAUUUUAUUCUGGCAGAAUGAUCUAAAGGAAACAUAGCUCACAAGCCACACAAAUCAGCACUGUGCUUGUCACAUGAUGGAUGUUUAAAUAAAUGUUGGUUUCUUAAAGCAAAUCCAAUUUGGAAAAUCAUUCACCCUAUAUAACACUCUGGGACGAAGCAGUCACCACCUCAUUACUCAUGCUACUGAACGCCGGUAAAUGAUGUGCUCCAAAAGUUGAUAUUUGUAGAUCUGGGGAACUUGGCAGGGAUUGUGACAAUAAUAGAGAUGAUCACUGCAUUGGAAGUGAGAGGAGAAUGGAAACAAUGCCUAGCAGGGGCUAGGAGAGUGUAAUAUACAUUUGAUACGUAAUAAAGAAGGUGAUGAAUGAUUUAUUUCAUCUCCACUAUGAAAAAAAUAACUCAGCAGAGAAAUUGCACUAUGAAAAAUGUUGGUCAGAUGUAAGAAAGAUCUUUCUAUUAAGGAAGGUUAUUACAAUUACAAUUGAUUGAUGUUGGUAAUGGAAUCUCCUUUCUUGAAUGGCAUGUGCAUCCAUGUACUUCACAGUGUUCUCUGGCCUGGCCCAAAGGCAAGUGACUGCCAUCUAUGCUCCCUGAAGUCUCUCCCGUUUCUGUGAAUCAAGAGCACAUAAAAUGUACCUGUGAGAUGACCUGAAAAGCUUUGAUCAACUCUGCUGCCUCCUCAAAGGGUUUUCUCAACUACCCUGUUCACUGAUGAACUCUCACACCUUUUUAGCUGCAUGUAGCAUAAACUACAGGCUACAGAAAGCAAUGGAACAAGUUUCUGCUUUGACAGAUUAUGCAUAUUACUGUUAGAUGAAUAUGGGAAGCCUUUCAACCAUGAAGGGAGCAAGAAUCUGAAAGAUCAAACUACACCUGAAUUAAAAUCACUGUGCAUGAACAAUUUAAGAGGUCAGUAUGUGUGCUCCCCACUGUAUGUAAAUAUUGCAGUUUAUCCAGUUAGCAUUAGUCCGCCUGCUUGAUUUCUUUUAACAAGACCAUUAUGUUGGACUUUGUUGUGGCCGGCUCGGUGAUGCCAUAUCACCACCCAGCAACAGGUUGGAGAAAAAGCCAGUCUUCCGUAUAAGUUGUCAGAGAAGGGAGAGAAUGCUGGUUUUUAACUUUUGUUAAGGCUCUUUAGUCUGCAUGGAGUACUAAGCCAGGUGUUAUGAGGAAGCCACUUCAUUAGGGGACUUCAUUAAGGGAAUCAGGAGAUUCCUGAGCAUAUUCACAGGUACAGGGAUGUAGAAGGGUGGCUUUCAACUCUAGAAGGGUAGUUACAAGCAGACAGCCCAUUCACAGGUAACACUGUCUGUUUGUACAGGAAGCCUUCAUUCUCGUGUUUGAUUAUGUCAUUGCUCAUCAUCAUAAAAUGUACCUUUCCUGUGCCCACAGUCAAAUUGUGUGUGAAUGUGUGUGUUGGGGAUAAUGUGAUAGGGGAAGUUAUUUUACAUAUGGAGUCAGUCUUCCGUGCUUUGUCUCCUUUCAAAAGAAUGAUACCAAGCUAUCAAGAGGGCCUGAUUAAGUAAAUUAGUUUUAUUUACAACUAUUUACUUACUUAUAAUAUGUGUCCACAGUCCCUGUGGUAGACACCAGAAAUGGAAAGACUAGCAACACUUGAGCCUUGACCUCCGGCAGCUGAUGAUUUAGGAGAGGAGACCUACAUAGAAAUAAGGAGAUGCAAAACAGUGUCCCCAAAUUAACUUUUUUGCAGAAGCAAGAAUGCUUACUUCUCACUUGCAGGGAGAUCAACCAAGAGAUAAUACCCGAGCUGACUUAGUAAAGGAAAUGAGGAGUUAACCAAAAGCAGAAGAAGAGAAUGACUGUUCCGUGUGUGGAGGCUAAUUUGCUUGGCCAUUCUACAGCGGAGGAAGCUGAAAUUCAAGACUGCCCAAUCUUCUGUUUGCCAUAGCUGUCACCUAAACUGAGCAAGCCUAUGAGGAAGCAGAUGUUUAAGUAGAGCAGGAAUCUUGAUAACUCCUGGUGGGGAUGCCCCCAGAUCCUCCACAGCCACUGCUCCGCCAUCGAAACAGUAUCACUCUUUACUCCCAAAGCUACAGAGAUGCCAGCCAUAAAAAAGAAUGAGCUCCUGCCAUUUGCAACAACGUGGAUGGACCUAGAGGGUAUAAUGCUAAGUGAAAUAAGUCAAACAAAGGAAGACAAAUACCAUAUGAUGUCACUCAUAUGUGUAAUUUAAGAAACAAAUGAACAAAGAAAAAAAGACACACACAAAAAAAAAACCCUGCUCAAAUACAGAGAACAAACUGAUGGCUACCAGAGGGGAGGUUGGUGGACGGAUGGGUGACAUAGGUGAAGGGGAAUAAGAGCACACUUAUGAUGAGCACUGAGAAAUGUAUGGAAUUGUUGAAUCACCACAUUGUGUACCAGAAGCUAAUAUAACACUGUAUGUUCAUUAUACUGGAAUUUUUUUUAAAAGCUAUAUAGAUGAAUGAAAUUCUCACUGUCUGUUCCUACUGUCCAGUGAAACCACAGCCAAGGGAAGGAGCUUGAUGAAUCAGUGGGGAAGACCCUAUUGAUCUUGCCUCUAGCCUGGCAAGAUGUGUAGAAUAAGUAGGAGCUCCCUGGCAUAUUCCCCCCUUCCCCCGUCCCCGCCAGGGAGCAGGACAGGGUCUGCCAACCUUGCGCCAGUGAAAUACCACUAAAAAAUCAAAUAUUUAAAAAUUUUAAAGCUAUAGAGAUGCUUUCAGUGGUUGUCUGGAUCUGCCUUGGGAAUAUGUGACACACAGGACAGGGGUAGCCCGUGUGGGGGUCCGUGAUCUUGCCACAGCCAUCAGUGAGGGAGCUAUAGCUCUCAACCUAAGUACAGCCUAGGUCUCUGCCAGGACCUCCUCCAUCACGGCCACCACCUUUAACAAGGAGAAAAAAGCUCUUGUCAUUGGAGCAGAGAGCCAUGUGGUCAGUGGUGGCUUUGAAGGGGACACCUACAGAGUGGCCUACGUCGGGGCUGCAGCUAACGCCAAGGGGAUAGGGCUAAUAAAAGCAGAUUUACCUCUCAGGAAGAAAAAUCGCUUGGCAAAAACCCAUGCAGCUAUGAAAGAGAUAUGGAAUUUCGGGGAACAUCCUAGUGAGCAACUAAAUUAAAGUGUGUUGAAAUCAAAAUGGUUAGCGACUGGGUAGUGGGAAAAUUAAGUUCUAUGUAGCAGUAAUUCUUCAGAUAGAAAUAAUUAGACCAAGGCAGUUUGUCAAAGAAAGACAGCAGUGGAAUUUCAGAACUGAGUUCCACCACAGAGAUAGAGAUCUGAUGACAUUAGAAAUUCCCAUGAGGAAGACGCCCCGAGACUGCCAUUAAGAAAGACUUGAUGAAAAAGCUUCUUCCCCCGCGUUCAGCCAGUCUUUCCCUAAGGUUUCCAAAUAAGAACUUGACUUUUCUCUGGUAUCUUGACUUGCCUGACUGCCUUGGCUGGAGGCUAAUUUUUCUUCACAAAAAAUGUCACAUGCUACGUGGCCACUGCUGAUGGAGUGUCGACUGUUGCCACUCAGUAUGAGAAGACAGACAAGCUAAUUCCCAUUUCAGGCGGGCUCUGCGGUCAGCGCCCACCUGUACCUUCACUGCCUGGUCUCUGCCUCUAAUGGCCCAGGCCCAGAGGAAAACGACCUCUGAUGACCGGCUGCCGGAUAGAUGGGGGUGGCCCUCCACUGCUCUUCCCUAAGAAGAGCUGCUUCUAUCAGCAUCCCGGUAAGUUGGAGCCAGACCAUUCUGCAUUUGCAACCCCUAGAUUAAGAACCAUCUAAGAAGACAAAACACGUGUGUGUGUGUGUGUGUGUGUGUGUGUGUGUGUGGCAGGCAGGGAGGUAAGAAUGAUUUGCUUUCAAACCUUGGUUUAAAACCAGUAGCCACCAGCGAUGUAUUAGUAAACUGAAGCUGGAGGAACCCAGAGUCUACAACCUGCAUUUACCCCAUCACGCCUCUAUUUCUUGGCCAAGUACCUAAAGACUAAUAAAAUGGUAACUCUCUGUCUUUAUCUCAUUUUCCUUUGUCCUUGACUGGCCCUCACAUGUCCAUAUUUCUCUCUCUAUGCUGGCUGUCCCCUGUGGCAUGCAGAACCAUGUGUCUGGAAUCUGCUCAGACUGGGGGCUGCUCACUUUUCCCAUGACUGAUUGUGAAGUCCUGGUGCCUGAGGGCUUCCCUCAGUCCCUGGAAGUGGUGGGCACUUACGCGGGCGUCAACUCUCCAGGGCAGGGUCAAGAGCGUAGAGCACAACAAAUGUCAGGCACUCAGUGCCUUCUUAGUUGUCCGAGAGGAGAGCCGGGCUUCCCCACAUGCCUGCGUCACUUAGCACCAAGGGGCAGUGUUUAGGGGCUUGCUGCUUUUUCUCUCCUUGGGGUGCCUUUCCUUUGUCACUCGCAUUAACAACUUUUUGAUCCAUCAUAGGAAACGACUAUUUCAUUUUAGUGGCUAAUGUGUAGCCACUUGACCAUGGAGCAGUGAAAUGGCUGUGCUUCUAGGGUUCAGACUCAUCACUAUGCUAGUCGGUUCAUGCACCGACUGGCUAGGAAGGAACGAUGCCACCAACAGUGCAGCCAGGCAACGCAAAAGACGGUCUGCCAUGACCGUGACUGAUGGUCAGCCACCUCCCCUGUGUCUCACAGGGAUCGCCAAGACCUUCUCAUUUGACCUGUGACCUCACUCACUGCCCCCAGAACCUUGUGGAACCUGGUUGUCCACUGCCUUGUGAAGCACAUGAAGGCUUUUCCAAAAUGAAAAAACUCACAUCGGAAUGGUACCCUCCAGGGAAACUGUCAAUUCCUGUCAUUGCCAGAACUCUCAGGAAUCUUCUCAGUACUUGCCAUGGAUAUUAACAGCAAGGAAAUAGAUUUACCCAUGGAGACAUGGAGCACACCCCCAAAUUAAUCAACAUAAGUAAAAAUAACUUCAUUUUGCCUGUUUCCAAAAGAAAAUAUCCUCUGAUACUAAAAUUAAAUGCAACGUGGGGUGCCUGGGUGACUCAGUCGGAUAAGCGUCUGACUUCGCCUCAUGUCAUGAUCUCACAGUUUGUGAGUUCAAGCCCCGUGUUGGGCUCUGUGCUGACAGCUUAGAGCCUGGAGCCUGCUUCGGAUUCUGUGCUUCCCUGUCUCUCUCUGCCCCUCCCCUGCUCAUGCUCUGUCUCUCUCUCCUUCAAAAGCAAAUAAACAUUAAAAAAUUUAAAAUUAAAUGCAAUGCAAUGAACAUACACCAAAUUUCAUGUUAAAAACAUACUUUGUUUUCCUUUAUAUUCAUAUCAAGAAACACUUAUAAUCCCAUGUAAUGACAAGUUCUGGAAAGAAACAAGAUACAAGAAAGAAAGUAGAAUACACAGAUGAGAACACAGGCAUAUCACGCACACACACCCACACACACACACACAUCUCAGAAGUGAUACAGAGAGACAGAAAACCAAUAGAAAAAGAUACAAUGACAGGCCUCUCAGAAGACACACUUUGAAAUAACAUCACUACCUUGUUACUUGAUUUCAUUCUGCCUGGAAGGUAGGUACCCUCAGAUAACUACUAACAUCUGAAGAAAAAAAUAAAGAUAUGAUCUUAAGGUUCCCAAAACUCAAACUGUUCUACUCAAAUUCAUUGAUCAAUCAUAGCAUCAUUAAAAGAGUGACAACUCGACAUUAUGUGUCUCCAGAUAUGACACAAUCAGAAGACGUAGCACCACGUAUGAAGUAUCUUGCCACAAGGUCAAGCUUGAUCUUGGACCGAAAGUGUAGAAAAUUCAAGAAUAACAGAAUUAGAUCGGUCUCACCACUAAAGAUAAAUGUGAUGGGUAUACCCAGAAGUUCCCCCCAAACUCCCAUCAGUACUACCCCCAACAAACAAAAAUUCCUUCCCCUAUUGCCUUAUCCUCAUUCUAGAAGAAAUUUGCCUAUUGGAUGGAUGAAUAAACUUCAGGACCUUGAAACCCCUUCCCAACUAAGAUACAGUAUAAAAUGAUUAAAAUUCCACUAUCAUAAUCUUAUCCCUUUAUCUUUCAGCUCCAAUCCCUAUUAAAUCACAAUGGGGUGAAAGGGGUAGAUAUGUGGGCUAUAUAGUUUUCGGAAUGUAGAGAAAUAGGCAGAGAAAAUGUGAAAGGAAGGCGAGGAGAUAAGUAAAGGACUCCAACUCUUGCGAUGUGUGAGAGGGAACAGGACUUCCCUGGAGAAGAGUUACUACCAAAAAGCAAAGCUGGAAAGUUGGAGCUUUUUUCCAGUUAUUUAAAAUUAUGACCAAAAAAGUCUAUUCUGAGCCAUAGAGAAAGUCACAGCUUCUACUGGCAGGAUGCUUAUAAUUUAGUUGGGGGGAAGAAACUUACAUAUCUGAGUGAAACAAUCAGAGCCGAAUUAAUUGUGUAGUUGAAUGCCAUUUGCUCCACAUGGGGUACAGCAGAUAAUGUAAGAGUUGCUGUCAGCAGGGUGAGAAAGCAGUAUGGCUGAAGCAGAAGUAGAAGUCUUCACAGAGGAGAAGAAAUGUCAACUGAACCCUAAAGAUGAAUAGGAUUUGGAUCAGCUAAGACUUUUUUCAUGAGAGAAACAGUGAGAGCAAAAAUAUUCAACAAAUAUGAAGUGCCAACUAUGUGGCAGACAGUGCAUGUGGUUGAUAUUCUGGGAAUAGGCAUAAGGCAGAACCGCCACCUUCCAAAGGCUGACUGUCUAAUAUAGACUUAGAAUCGGUAGCAAGAGUGACUAGAGAUUCCAAGGAAGAGGACCAAUAGGGUGUGUGUGUGUGUGUGUGUGUGUGUGUGUGUGUGUGUAUGGAGACAGAGAGAGAGAGAGAGAUCUUAAUUGGCUCAUGUGAUUAUGGAGCCAGGCAAGUCCAACAAGCGUAAGGAAAGCUUGCAGACUGGAGACCCAGGGAAGGGUUGAUGUUGCAAUCUUGAGUCCAAAGGCAGUGGAGAGGCAGAAUGUCUUUGUUCUUAAGGCCUUUAAGGGACUGAAUAAGACUCAUCCACAAUAUGGAGGGUAAUCUGCUUUACUUAAAGUUUAUUGAUGUAAAUGUAAAUCUCAUCUAAAAAAUACCUUCACAGCCACACCAAAUAUCUGGCUACCUUGGCCCACCCAAGCUGACACAUAAAAUUAAUCAUCACAGGACGGGAUGUAUGUAAGGACAUGGAUCAAUGGUAUGAAAGCCAGAUGAGGAUGAUCCUUGAGCAGUCAACCAACAGAAUACUGUAGGAAGAUUAGGCUAGGGACGUUUCUAGCAGUUUGGAGACAUAAUAUUACCCUCUCAUCUUUACCCCAAGACAACCGAAGGCCAUACCUUUACAUCAUUCUUCAGUUGCUAUGGGUUGGCACUUCUCUCCCAGGAAAGCAGUCCUAUAUUCUGAUUUUUAUACCUGAUUGCACACCCCGACCUGAAGAGCAGGAAGCCCAUGGGUUUUUGGUUUUCUUAUUGUGACAGUCAUAUACAUGGACCGCAUGAGGCACGCCCAGAAUCUAUUUUGCAUUUUGAAAAGCCUGGAUGAAUAGAAAGGAAAUUCAGUUUUCAAUUGUCAAGUUCUUUAAAGCAAUUCAUAUUUUCUGUUUUAGGUCGAAAUAAGUAAUGACACUGACUCUGAAACACGGCUGCUGAACUUGAGUUAGGAAGCAAAGCACCACUGAGAGCACCUCUCUGCAUUGGCACGUCUCACCUCCUCCCAGAGGACGGACCGCGCCUCCCUACUUCCCCACCAAUCCCGGAGUUCUUGGGUCACAGCCUAUGUAUUAUUAGCAUUGUUCACUAGAUGAGUUGUAGGUGACUGGGUGGGU